UACGUAGGGACCAAGCGUUGUUCGGAUUUACUGGGCGUAAAGGGCGCGUAGGCGGCUUGACAAGUCACUUGUGAAAUCUCCGGGCUUAACUCGGAACGGCCAAGUGAAACUGUCAUGCUAGAGUGCAGAAGGGGCAAUCGGAAUUCUUGGUGUAGCAGUGAAAUGCGUAGAUAUCAAGUGGAACACCAGUGGCGAAGGCGAGUCUCUGGACAUUUCCUGACGCUGAGGCACGAAAGCCAGGGGAGCAAACGGG
rnacentral:rRNA from 1 species